GCUCUAAAUGAUUUUGAUUGUUGCUCAGAAAGCCUUUUUAUUAUUUAUAAUGGCUUUCGUGCGAUAAUCAUGACCAAGAAAGA